CCGGCGUACUGGGGCGGUUCAGUCGCCUCAGCCGCGGUGUGAGGGAGCGGGAGUCUUCCUUAGCUUCUCCGCCAUGGGUGUCGCUUCGUAGCCGGGCUGCUCCGGGAAAGGCCUCGUACAGCAAGCUCCGAAGCAGACGUUUACCAGUUUUGCACAACUUUGUCAUGGACCAACUGGCCUUGUGGCUCAGUGGCAUCUGGAGGCAAGAGGGCCAAGUAGACAGGGGUCUCAGCCCCCUCCUCCACAGUCCUGAUGCUGUCUUUCCCAUCCAUGUCUGUCUUCACUGGUCCUGGGCAGCACGCAUUCACCAGAAUCCUGUCAGCUUUCCUCUUCUCAUCCAGACGCCUGGCCAGGAUCCUCGAUAAGACCGUGACCCCCAACUUGGACACCCCAUAAGCUUUGUUCUCAGAAACUUGGCGGCUACAAGGAAUUAAAUGUGAAUGGGAAAGGAAGAAAGAAAAACACAGAUCAUAGAAGCUGUGCCUUCGAGGAAAUAAAUCCUCUUAAGGGGAGGAGGUGUCCUCUUUGAUCUGAGGGCACACCUCUGGGAGAGAGGCCAGAGGCUGACAGUCAGCCUCGUCAGCCAGAUGCGUCAUCAGCCCUGGGAAGGGCUGCACCCACACCACCCUCCACUGAGGUCCAGGUGGCCCCACCGGUCCCGAAACACCUGCUGCCUUACUCUAGAAAGAGUAGGCAAGUUGCGCCCUCUAGUGGCUUAGUAGUUGCUUGUCCUAUUGACUCAGAACCUUGAACAAAUAAGCAAGUCAAAUACAGAUAGAUGGUCCCUGCCCUCUGAUGGUUCCACUUAGGACUUACUGACUUCACUGAUGGAUGAGGAAGCGAUAUGCAUUCUGCAGAAUCUGUACUUGGAGGCCCCAUACAACCAUUCUGCAUUUCACUUUCAGUACAGAUUCAAUAAAUUACAUAAGAUACUCAACAUUUUAUGAUAAAAUAGGCUUUGUGUUAGAUGACUUUGCCAGACUAUAGGCUAAUGUAAGCGUUCAAAGCACCUUGAAGCUAGACGAGGCUGACCUAUGGUGUUUGGUAGGUCAGAUGCGUUAAAUGCAUUUUUUUUUUUUUUUGAGACAAGGACUUGCUCUGUCGCCCAGGCUAGAGUACAGUGGCACAAUCAUAGCUCACUGCAGCCUCAACCUCCUGGGCCCAAGCGAUCCUCCCACCUCAGUCUCUCGAGAAGCUGGAACAUGCCACUAUGCCCAGCUAAUUUUUAAUUUUCAUUUUUUGUGUAGAGCUGGGGUCUCCAUAUGUUGCUCAGGA
rnacentral:lncRNA from 1 species